rnacentral:rRNA from 1 species
CUACGGGAUGCAGCAGUGAGGAAUAUUGCACAAUGGGGGGAACCCUGAUGCAGCAACGCCGCGUGGAGGAUGACACUUUUCGGAGCGUAAACUCCUUUUAUAUAGGAAGAAGAUGACGGUACUAUAUGAAUAAGCGCCGGCUAACUCCGUGCCAGCAGCCGCGGUAAUACGGAGGGCGCAAGCGUUACUCGGAAUCACUGGGCGUAAAGAGCGUGUAGGCGGAUUAAAGAGUCAGAAGUGAAAUCCUAUAGCUUAACUAUAGAACUGCUUCUGAAACUCUUAAUCUAGAAUAUGGGAGAGGUAGAUGGAAUUUCUGGUGUAGGGGUAAAAUCCGUAGAGAUCAGAAGGAAUACCGAUUGCGAAGGCGAUCUACUAGAACAUUAUUGACGCUGAGACGCGAAAGCGUGGGGAGCAAACAGGAUUAGAUACCCGUGUAGUC